AAACCAACAGGGAUUGCCCCAGUAACGGCGAGUGAAGCGGCAGCAGCUCAAAUUUGAAAUCUGGCCGCCCCCCGGGGGGGCCCGAGUUGUAAUUUGCAGAGGAUGCUUUUGGCGCGGCGCCUUCCGAGUUCCCUGGAACGGGACGCCAUAGAGGGUGAGAGCCCCGUCUGGUCGGACGCCCAGCCUCUGUAAAGCUCCUUCGACGAGUCGAGUAGUUUGGGAAUGCUGCUCUAAAUGGGAGGUAUAUGUCUUCUAAAGCUAAAUACCGGCCAGAGACCGAUAGCGCACAAGUAGAGUGAUCGAAAGAUGAAAAGCACUUUGAAAAGAGGGUUAAACAGUACGUGAAAUUGUUGAAAGGGAAGCGCUCAUGACCAGACUUGGGCCGGGCGAAUCAUCCGGCGUUCUCGCCGGUGCACUUCGCCGGGCCCAGGCCAGCAUCAGUCCGCCGCGGGGGACAAAGGCGUCGGGAACGUGGCUCCCCCGGGAGUGUUAUAGCCCGUCGCGCAAUGCCCUGCGGGCGGACUGAGGUUCGCGCUCCGCAAGGAUGCUGGCGUAAUGGUCAUCAGCGAC
rnacentral:rRNA from 2 species